AGGCCGCAGGAUCCAGUAGAGGAUGCAAAUACCAGCAGCCCUUUGCAAUCCCUCUCUCCUACUCUGAAACAGUGUGAUUGUCUUCUUCAUCUGAAAGAAUGAGCGGCGAAAUCAGAAGGCGAGAUCGCGCAGAUGUGUGGAAGCACAAGAAACAGAAGCUGAUCCGAAAUGCCGAAGAGGAAGUGGAGUCGAAGCUAGGGUUGGAUCUCUUCUCCGAAGGCGAAAAGCGCCUCGGUUGGUUGCUCACCUUCGCAUCCUCAUCUUGGGAGGAUGAAGAGACCCACAAGGUCUACAGCUGCGUUGAUCUUUAUUUUGUUUCUCAGGAUGGUUCUUCUUUCAAAUCAAAGUACAAGUUUCGUCCUUAUUUCUAUGCAGCCACAAAGGAUAAAAUGGAAAUGGAUGUUGAGGCAUAUUUGAGACGACGCUAUGAAGGUCAGAUUGCGGAUAUAGAGAUUAUGUAUAAAGAGGACCUCGAUUUAAAAAACCAUUUGUCUGGCUUAUGCAAAUCUUAUCUAAAGAUAUCUUUUGAUAAUGUUCAACAAUUAAUGCACGUGAAGAGUGAUCUUCUGCAUGUUGUUGAAAGAAACCGGGCGAAAUUUGAUGCUGCAGAAGCUUAUGAAUCCAUAUUGACAGGGAAAAGUAAACAAAGAACUCAAGAUUUCAUAGAUUAUAUUGUUGAUCUCCGCGAGUAUGACGUUCCUUAUCAUGUUCGGUUUGCCAUUGACAAAGAUGUCAGAUGCGGGCAAUGGUAUGAUGUCAAUGUAUCCAGUGCUGGUGUUAUGCUAGAGAGGAGGACUGAUCUUUUGCAACGUGCUGAAGUUCACGUGUGUGCAUUUGAUAUUGAGACAACGAAGCUUCCAUUAAAAUUUCCAGAUGCUGAAUAUGAUUUAGUAAUGAUGAUCUCAUACAUGGUUGAUGGGCAAGGCUACCUGAUAAUUAACAGAGAGUGCGUUGGGGAAGAUAUAGAGGAGUUGGAGUAUACUCCAAAACCUGAAUUUGAAGGUUGUUUUAAAGUUACAAAUGUAAAAAAUGAGAAAGAGCUUCUUAGAAUGUGGUUUGCCCAUAUGCGUGAGGUCAAGCCUGGAAUUUAUGUUACAUACAAUGGUGAUUUUUUUGACUGGCCAUUUCUGGAAAGCAGAGCUGCACAUCAUGGGUUGAAAAUGAGUGAUGAGGUAGGAUUCCAAUGUGACAAAAAUCAGGGUGAAUGUCGUGCUAAAUUUUCUUGUCACCUGGAUUGUUUUGCUUGGGUCAAACGUGAUAGUUAUCUCCCUCAGGGAAGCCAGGGGCUAAAGGCUGUUACCAAGGCUAAGCUGGGAUAUGAUCCACUGGAGGUGAAUCCUGAGGAUAUGGUUCGAUUUGCAAAGGAAUUGCCCCAGAUGAUGGCUUCAUAUUCUGUAUCUGAUGCUGUUUCUACUUACUACUUGUAUAUGACGUAUGUGCAUCCCUUUAUUUUCUCCCUUGCAACUAUAAUACCCAUGCCACCAGAUGAAGUUUUGCGUAAAGGAAGUGGGACUCUGUGUGAAAUGCUUCUUAUGGUUCAGGCUUACAAGGCAAAUGUUAUCUGCCCAAAUAAACACCAAUCUGAUCCUGAGAAAUUCUACCAUAACCAACUUUUGGAGAGUGAGACAUAUAUAGGUGGACAUGUGGAAUGCCUUGAAAGUGGUGUUUUCAGAUCGGAUCUUCCAACUAGUUUUAAGCUUGAUCCAUCUUCCUAUGAGCAACUGAUUGUCAAUCUUGAUCGUGAUCUACAAUAUGCGAUUAGAGUAGAGGGAAAGAUGGAUGUGGAAUCAGUCUCCAAUUAUGAUGAAGUGAAGAAUGCUAUCAAGGAAAAGCUUAUGAAGUUGCAAGGUGAACCUAUACGUGAAGAAUUCCCCCUCAUUUAUCAUCUAGAUGUGGCUGCAAUGUAUCCAAAUAUUAUUUUGACAAAUAGGCUUCAGCCUUCGUCAAUAGUUUCAGAUGAGAUUUGUACUGCAUGUGAUUUUAAUCGUCCAGGCAAAAAUUGUCUUCGUAAACUUGAAUGGGUUUGGCGUGGAGAGGCAUUCAUGGCGAAGAAAAGUGACUAUUAUCAUUUGAAGAGACAAAUUGAGUCUGAGUUAGUUGAUGGUGGAGAUAGCCGGUUCUCAAAAUCUUUUAUUGACCUGCCUAAGACAGAGCAACAGCUGAAGCUCAAAGAGCGCUUAAAGAAAUACUGCCAAAAGGCUUAUAAACGGGUACUUGACAAGCCAGCCACUGAACUUCGAGAAGCAGGGAUCUGCAUGCGGGAAAAUUCUUUUUAUAUUGACACUGUCCGCAGUUUUCGAGAUAGAAGAUAUGAGUACAAAGGACUUAAUAAGGUUUGGAAGGGGAAGCUAUCAGAAGCCAAGGCUAGUGGAAAUUCUAUAAGGAUCCAGGAAGCACAAGAUAUGGUUGUUCUCUAUGAUUCACUACAACUUGCUCAUAAAUGUAUUCUCAAUUCCUUUUAUGGAUAUGUCAUGCGCAAGGGUGCAAGAUGGUACUCGAUGGAAAUGGCUGGAGUUGUUACCUAUACUGGAGCAAAAAUCAUACAGAAUGCCCGCUUAUUGAUUGAAAAAAUUGGAAGACCACUUGAACUAGACACUGAUGGUAUCUGGUGUGUGUUACCUGGAUCUUUUCCAGAGAACUUCACCUUUAGAACAAAAGACUUGAAGAAGAAGUUGACAAUUUCAUAUCCUUGUGUUAUGCUAAAUGUUGAUGUGGCUAGAAAUAAUACAAAUGAUCAAUACCAGACACUCGUUGAUCCCAUCAAUAAAACAUAUGCAACACAUAGUGAAUGCUCUAUUGAAUUUGAAGUGGAUGGACCAUACAAGGCAAUGAUUCUUCCAGCUUCCAAGGAAGAAGGAAUUUUGAUUAAAAAACGCUAUGCUGUCUUCAAUGAUGAUGGAACUCUUGCAGAGCUUAAGGGUUUUGAGAUCAAGCGUAGAGGUGAGCUGAAGCUCAUCAAAGUUUUCCAGGCUGAGCUUUUUGACAAGUUCCUUCAUGGUUCAACCUUAGAGGAAUGCUAUGCAGCAGUGGCUUCAGUUGCAAACCGUUGGCUUGAUCUUCUUGAUAAUCAAGGGAAGGAUAUUGUGGAUAGCGAGUUGCUUGAUUACAUAUCGGAAUCAAGCACCAUGAGCAAGUCUUUAGCAGAUUAUGGUGAGCAAAAGUCAUGUGCAGUGACCACUGCUAGACGGCUGGCUGAUUUUCUUGGUGAUACGAUGGUUAAAGAUAAAGGACUUCGUUGCCAGUAUAUAGUUGCAUGCGAGCCAAGGGGAACACCUGUAAGCGAGCGUGCUGUUCCUGUUGCAAUAUUUGAAACUGAUGCUGAAAUUAUGAAGUUUUAUGUGAGGAAGUGGUGCAAGAUUUCAUCAGAUGUUGGCAUUCGGUCUAUUGUUGAUUGGUCAUAUUACAAACAGCGACUUGGUUCUGCAAUUCAAAAAAUUAUAACCAUUCCUGCUGCAAUGCAAAAGGUUGCAAAUCCUGUUCCUAGGGUAGUUCAUCCUGAUUGGCUGUAUAAGAAGGUUCGUGAAAAGGAGGAAAAAUUUCGCCAACGAAAAUUAGUUGAUAUGUUUGGCUCGUUGAAGAGGGAUGAUAAUGUCAAAAUGAAUGUCGAUGCUAUCACCUCCAAUCACGUUAUUUCUGAAGAGAAUAUUGAAGAUUUGGAAGACUUCAGAAACAAAGGCAGAACUUCCUCAGCUGGACCUAGACCCAUUGUUCGUUGUUAUGAAGUUAAUGGCAAACAACAGUCAGAUGCUAUGAAUUGCCUAGCAAAUUCCCCCCAAGAACCAGCCAAUCAUAGUGAAAGUGCAUUGACGCCGAUGCAGCCUACUGAUAUCUCUACUGAUAAUAUUGACAGAAACGUGGAUUAUCAAGGAUGGCUUGAGAUGAAGAAGAGAAAAUGGAAAGAUGCUCGGGAGAAAAGGAAGAGGCAAAGGAUGGAUAAUUCAAAGACAUCAAAUCAGACUAAUGGUGUCUCAGAGCUUCCAGGUGGUGUGAUAAAUCAUAAGCAAGCACAGGGAAGAACUGGCGUUAAUUCAUAUUUCCGGAGGCAUGAAUUAGCCCUUACACACUCUUAUUGGCAGAUAAUACAGCUUGCCCCAAGUUCACAGCAUGGCCAGUUUUUUGCUUGGGUUAUUGUAGAAGGAGUGAUGCUCAAGAUUCCUAUUACUGUUCCUAGAGUGUUUUACCUCAACUCUAAAGCUCUAAUAACAGAGGAGUUUCCAGGAAGGCGUGUCAACAAGACUCUUCCGCAUGGGCAUCAUAGCUAUAACCUAAUUGAGAUUAUAAUUGAUGAAGAUCAAUUUAGGGGAGAGAGCAGAAAACUUGCAGCUCACUUAGCAGAUCCAGAAGUUGAGGGAAUAUAUGAAACAAAGGUGCCAUUGGAGUUUAAUGCUGUCCUCCAGAUUGGGUGUGUUUGCAAAGUGGAUAAAACUGCUAAAAAACGUAACAUCCAAGAUGGCUGGAGUUUGAGUGAGUUGCACAUGAAGACCACAACUGAAUGCCCUUAUCUGGAACAGUCCAUCUCUUUCUUUUACUUGUACCAUAGCAUCUCUGAGGGACGAGCUAUAUACGUUGGAUAUUUUCCUGCAUCUAGAACCAUAUCUGUUGUGGUGGUUAACCCUUUUCAAAACAAAGAAUUAUCACCAUCUAUUAUCGAAAAACAAUUCCGUGAAGCUUGUGAAGCAUUGUCUAUUGAACCUCCUCAGCCUAGAAAUGGUAUCAGUUUCAAGGUGGACUACGUUGGAUAUGUUAAGGAUGCUGAAAAAUUCUUACAAAGAACAAUAAAUGACCACAGGCAUCAACAUCAUGGACCUGAAGUUGCUGUUAUCGAAUGCCCAAAUGUUCAUUUGUUGAAGUCAGGUAUACGGGCUUUAGACGAUCUCCCAUGUGUCAACAUUCCUUCAAAUGCUCGUGAUUCUCAUUAUCAGGCUCUUGGAUGGCAAAUUGUGGCUGCAAAAAUUGGAAUGCAACGCUGUGCAGCGGCAACUCAGUGGUUGAAUGAGAGAAUUUCUCUUGCAAGAUAUGCCCAUGUACCGCUGGGGAAUUUCGAGCCUGAUUGGCUUAUAUUUACAGCAGAUCUCUUCUUUUCAAGAGCUUUACGUGACCAGCAACAGGUGCUUUGGAUAUCUGAUAAUGGAAUUCCAGAUCUAGGAGGCCUUAAUGAAGAAGAUACAUGUUUUGCUGAUGAGGUCCAUCAACCUGUUCUUACUUAUCCUGGUGCUUAUAGAAAAGUUUCUGUGGAGCUAAAGAUUCAUCACCUUGCUGUAAAUGCUCUUCUGAAAAGUAACCAAGUAAAUGAAAUGGAAGGAGGUGCUUUAUUUGGAUUUGAACAGGACAUGAAUAUGGGAGCACAUGGUUUCAAUGAACAGUGUGGCUUUGAUGAGGCAACCUUAUGUGCGCCUACAUUUCGUGUCCUAAAACAAUUGAUCCAAAGGUGCCUAGCAGAUGCAGUUUCAUCUGGAAAUGUAUUUGCUGAUGCAAUACUGCAACAUCUAUAUCGAUGGCUAUACAGCCCACAAUCAAAACUUCAUGACCCAGCUCUUCACCGCAUUCUUCACAAGGUCAUGCAAAAGGUGUUUGCAUUGUUGUUAGCUGAAUUUCGAAAAUUGGGUGCCACAAUUGUAUUUGCUAACUUCUCAAAGGUUAUUAUAGACACCGGAAAAUCAGACUUGUCUGCAGCCAAAGCAUACUGUGAUAGUUUACUCAAAACUCUGCAAACUAGAGACUUAUUUGAGUGGAUUGAGAUUGAGCCAUUGCACUUCUGGCAUUCCUUGCUUUUUAUGGAUCAGUACAACUAUGGUGGGGUCCAGGCCAGAUCCCAUGGUGGAUCAUUAAUAGGUAGUUCAGAUCCAACUAGUGAAAGCAUAGAAGAUGAAUCUCAAGUGGAUAUUGUAUCAAGCUGGAACAUUGCUGAACAAUUGCCAAAGACAAUUCAAGAUCAUUUUGUUUUGAUAGUUUCUGAAUUUAUGUAUACCCCAUGGAAAUAUGCACGAGAGCAAGCAGCAAAUAGAGCAUCUGCAAGGAAUGGUGACUCAUGUACUCCAUCAAUCACUGCUGCAGCUGCUGAGGUUUUUGAAUCACACAUUACUGAAUAUCUCAAAGAGCAGAUCAGCUCUUAUUUUGCGGACAAGCUUCUUAGAAUUGUUCGUGAUACGGUUCUUCAUAUGAAAGGAAUGAACAGAUCUGAGAAUGACCAGCAUACUGGGGAUGCUGCACUUGAGUUCAUUAAGCAUGUUUGUGCUGUUCUAGCUCUUGACCAAAAUGUUCAGCAUGAUAUUCUGGUAAUGAGGAAGAAUCUGUUAAAAUAUGUGCAUGUGAGGGAGUUUGCUCCAGAGGCAGAGUUUUGUGAUCCCUGCCAGUCUUUCAUCUUACCAAAUGUUAUUUGCAGCUAUUGCAAUGACUGUAGAGACCUGGACUUAUGCCGUGAUUCAGCUUUAUUGGCUCAGGAGUGGCGUUGUGCUGUGCCACAGUGUGGGCAGCCUUAUGACCGUGAGGUAAUGGAGAAUGCUCUUCUUCAAAUUGUACGACAGAGAGAACGUCUCUACCAUGUGCAGGACUUGGUGUGCCUCAAGUGCAAUCAGGUGAAAGCAGCACAUUUGGCUGAGCAAUGUUCAUGUGCCGGCUCAUUCAGGUGCAAGGAAGACGUGUCUGAAUUCCAAAGCAAAAUGCAGGUUUUCUUGAAAAUAGCCAUGCUUCAGAAAUUUCAACUUCUCCAGGAAUGCACCUCCUGGAUUUUGGAGAUCAGAUAAUUUUCCUUCAUCUCCUUUUUAGUUAGCCUAUAUGACUAACCAAGCAUAGUAUUUCAUUAGAAGAUGCUUAAGCUGAAAUGCAGCAACGAUGAAUAUAGUUCAGAAAGGCGAUCAAAGCUUGAGAGUUUUGUUCAGAAAAAUAAAAGAACAAAUGCUUUGGUGGACAUGAGUGUAGACAUGUGGUAAGACUAUAAAUGAUGAGUUGAGUGCUGGAUCCUUUAAUUUUACUGUCAUAAGAACUACUCAUGGAGAUGCUUAGACUUCGCGGGCCUGCAAGGAAAUAUGCAGGUGAAACAACUCGAUGCUUCAUAGUUGCCAUUCAAGUAGUGCCUCUGCUCACCACAUGCUUUAAACCAUAUUUUUAAGCACUUUUCCUCUCAACUUUUGCA